rnacentral:lncRNA from 1 species
GACGUCGAAGCAACAAUUUAUCCGACCAUAGGAAUUUCGGGUAAAACAUUCUUCUCCUUAUUCUUCCUUUUCUUUUGGCUUUCACAUUAUUUGUCCUAUAAAAAUAAAAACUGAGAAUAACAUCUGCAAUCGGUACUUGCAGCAUUUAUAGAAUUUAUAAUUCUAUUUAUAGGAAAAGUGAUGGAUGUAUUGUUGGGAAAAAAUAAUAAUUUCGUCCAGAAAUAAUAUCCACGGCAAAUAAUAAUAAUAACACAAGAGAGUAACAACGACACUAACUCUUUUAACGAGGUAAAAUACAAUACCCGAGCGGAGCAAUAUUACCACUAAUAUUACAACUUAGUAGUGUCAAGAGACUACUACAAUUUUAAAAGAAAUAACACUCUUCAUUUAAACACCUCACUACAAUAUUAUUCACACUCACUAUUUAUCUCACAGGCUACAAUCUAUGGAUUACUCUCUCUAACUUCUAUUGCUUCUCUCUUAUUUUGGUGUGUCUUAAAUGAAGAACGAAGCCUGCUAUUUAUAGUAAAACUUGCCAAACUUUCAGCCAAUCAAAAUGCUUGCAUAUGCAAUUUGCUUUGCAAGUUGUCAAACUUUUUUUUUCAGCCAUUCACUUCAUUAUUGUAACUUGUUGUCAUCAUUUUCUUUCUUUCUUUUUAUUUCUUUUUAUUAGAUGAGUCCCACAAAUCUUCCCCUUAAUUUUAAUUUUUUCUUAUCAUUCCAAGUCUUGAUCUCAACCUCUGAAAAUCUUCAAACUUGAGAGGCGGCUUGGUAAAAAUAUCCGCAACUUGAUCAUGAGAUUUCACAUACUUGAGCUCGACUUCUUUCUUGGCAAUGCAUUAUAUGAUGAAGUGAUACCUUGUAUCUAUAUGCUUGCUCCGAUCAUGAUACACUGGAUUCUUCGCAAGUGCCUGUGCGGAUUUGUUGUUAAUAUAAAUCUCUGUAUCUUCAAUUUGUGGUAAAUUGAGCUCCUUCAACAAUCUUCUUAGCAAAAUAGCAUGACAGGUACAAGAUGUUGUUGCUACAUAUUCAGCUUCACAAGUCGAGAGAGUAACAAUUGAUUAUUUCUUUGAACUCCAGGAAGUAACACAAUCACCCAAGAAAAAUACAAAACCAGUUAUGCUUUUUCUAUUAUCAAUAUCUCCCGCAUAAUAACUAUCAUAAUAUCCCAUAAGCUUGAAAUCACUAGAAGAAGAAUAAAGUAACCCAAAGUCAAUCGUACCUUUUAGGUAACGAAGAAUUCUUCUAGUGACUUUCAAAUGAGUGGAGGUAGGAGCUUCCAUGAAGCUGCUUACUACUCCAACUACAAAGAGUAUAUCUGGCCUGGUACAAGUGAAGUACCUGGUUGUAUAGCUUGUAGCCCGUUGAACUCGUAUCAUAGCCAACAAACACAUGCUUGAUACUUCGAUCGUCAAGAUUCGCUCUCCCUUGAUGUGGCACAUGAGCAUAGGCUAUGCUCCCAAAGAUUCUCAAGUGCUUGACAUUUGGCUUUCUUCCACUCCAUGCUUCUUGAGGGGUUUGAUCUCUGACAUUCCUUGUUGGAGAUCUGUUUUUCAAAUAAACUGCACAAGAUACAGCUUCUGCCCAAAAUUCCUUGGGCAUACUUUUAGCUUUUAACAUACAUUUGGCCAUAUUAAGAAUAGUUCGAUUCUUUCUCUCUGCAAAUCCAUUUUGUUAGGGUGAAUAAGGUACCGUUAGAGGACGACAAAUUCCAUGAGACGGACAAAAGUCAUUAAAUUCGUUUGAAGUGAAUUCGCCUCCUCUAUCAAACCUUAAAGCUUUUAUUUCAUAGCCACUUUCUUUCUCCACAAGUACUUUUAAAUUUUUAAAAGCCGCAAAAUCUUCAGAUUUUUGGUUCAAGAAAUAAACCCAAGUCUUUCUACUAAAGUCAUCAAUGAAAAGUAGAACGUAUUUACUUUUACCAAAGGAAGGUGGAUUGAUUGGUCCAAACAAAUCAGUGUGAACAAGCUGAAGUGGUUUAAUUGAUCUUGACGUGGCCUCCUUUAGAAAACUCCUCCUUGCAUGUUUUCCAAGAAGACAAGCUUCGCACAAUUGAUUGGGAUGGUUGAUUGAUGGUAUCCCAUGUACCACAUUCUUUUCUCCCAUUGAUUUGAGUGCUUCAAAAUUCAAGUACCCAAAUCGCAUGUUCCAACACCAUGAUUCAUCUUGCACAUUAGCGUUCAAACACUUUGCAUCAAUUGUUUUAAGAUUCAGAGAAAAUAAUCUAUUCUUUGUCAUAUGCACUUUAGCAAUUAGAAUUCCACCAGAAUCUCUAAGCCAAAGAUUCAUAUUUUUCAUGUGGAUGUCAUAUUCCUUUUCAAAAAGUUGGCCCAAACUCAAAAUAUUACUUAUUAAUUUUGGCACAUAAUAAACAUAUUGAAUUAGCUUGUGACUACCAUCUUUAUAGGAGAUCAGAAUCGUACAUAUCCCUUUGAUUUGAAUCUUUGAGGUAUCUCCAAAGUACACAUUACCUCUCACUGAUAAGUGAAAAUUUUGACUACUUAUUAGCACUUUUUUCUUUCGUUUUACUCCAGAAGCGUUUAAUUAUGUUCCAGAAAACUGAUGAAAUAUGCUUAAUUGCAGGAAUAGUGGAAAAUGAGCCUCCAAGAUGAAAUCCAACUCAAAAAGGAGUGAUCUGAACUCAAGGACACAAACAGGCACAGAACCUCAGAAGUGCGGACCGCAGAUUGUGAAGAAACUCCUAUCAGAGACAAGUGCAAAGUGCGGUCCACGCAUGACAUGUGCGGCCGCAGAACCUGCGCAAGAGCAAAAGUUCAGAGAACUUGCAUCUCAAGUUCAACAGAAGUGCGG